UCCGGUGGUUCUGAAUGGAAGGGCCAUCGCUCAACGGAUAAAAGGUACUCCGGGGAUAACAGGCUGAUACCGCCCAAGAGUUCAUAUCGACGGCGGUGUUUGGCACCUCGAUGUCGGCUCAUCACAUCCUGGGGCUGAAGUAGGUCCCAAGGGUAUGGCUGUUCGCCAUUUAAAGUGGUACGCGAGCUGGGUUUAGAACGUCGUGAGACAGUUCGGUCCCUAUCUGCCGUGGGCGCUGGAGAACUGAGGGGGGCUGCUCCUAGUACGAGAGGACCGGAGUGGACGCAUCACUGGUGUUCGGGUUGUCAUGCCAAUGGCACUGCCCGGUAGCUAAAUGCGGAAGAGAUAAGUGCUGAAAGCAUCUAAGCACGAAACUUGCCCCGAGAUGAGUUCUCCCUGACCCUUUAAGGGUCCUGAAGGAACGUUGAAGACGACGACGUUGAU
rnacentral:rRNA from 1 species